rnacentral:tRNA from 1 species
UGAUCGGUAGCUUAAAAAAAGCAUUAGACUUUUAAUCUAACUAUGUGACAAACUAUAACUCCCAAUCAA